rnacentral:lncRNA from 1 species
GUGCCUGGCAGUGUUGCACAGUAUGGAUGAAGCUGAUUGCUGCUCCAGAGCCCUGUUAGGUCUGAGGCCUGUGUGAGUUUUUACCUCUACCUGAAGAUCUUUUGGUUUCUUGGUUCUAAGUAGCUCACCCCCAAAUGUGGGCAAGAUGGGAUGGAGAAUCUCCUUUCCCUGCUGCAAUGCCUAAUGGUAGGAGAGGGUGGAAAAGGGUGGUCUUCUGACAAGAAGCUGUUAUUGCCCCGUGGUGCUUUGCAGUUGAAACUCAAAGUUGGUCCAGCACAUAGGUAAUGAAGACAUAAGGUAGUUUGUCUUGUCUGGUAAGAAGGAGUAGGUAGUUACUUGAAAGGCUUAAAAGCUGAACAGAGGGGGAGGACUUCACAGAAUCAUAACAUGGCUUGCGUUGGAAGGGACCUUAAGGAUCAUCCAGUUCCAACACCCUGCCAUGGGCAGGGACACCACCCACUAGACCAGGUUGUUCAGGGCCUCAACUAACCUGGUCUUGAACACAUCUCUGGGCAACCUGUUCCAGCACCUCACCACCCUUUGAGUGAAGAAUUUCCUCCUAUCCUCUAAUCUCUAGCAAGUGAUAAGCUAUAGGGAAUUGAGCAAUAUGCAGAAUAUGAAUUCUUUGAUGGCUUCCUGCAAACACUUAAGUAUAUUUAUCUGCUUUUCACUUGACUUGGCUUAACUCCUGGUUAGGAGUACCAGUCUUACGGCAUUCAAGCUUGAGACUAACAGAUGACGGAGACUAUCCUGAGCAACAUGACUUGUCUGAAAAUGCUGAAGAAAAACCCAAGUUGCCAGAGCUGAAAGGCAGGAAAGCUGCAGAGCCUCCUGCUUCAGUUAGUGAAGUGUGUGUUGUCCCCAACGUUGAGAACAACAUCCAUCCAGCAUUUGAGGACUGCAUUCCGUCAAACUUUGAUUAUCCCGCUCCCCCGGUGUUUGACAGUGCUUCUGCAGAAUUUGAGGAGUUCCUUCCUCCAGGGUUUGAGGACUUGAAUGACAAAGAGGGUGUUGUUAUGGACAAUGCAUACCAUGCAUCUUCAAGGUGCAAAGUGUCCUGGAAAUGCAGUGAAGGAGGCGAACCCUCUACGUAUGCUUUGAUCAAAACGGAGUGCGCAGAGGACAAGUCUGGAGAUUCGGAAUGGAGUUCUUACUAUCAGACUUGCCAGGAAACAUGUUGACAGUAUUGGACUGAAGUUUGGAUUCUUCCCUUCUCUCUCAGCUGGCUUUGAGCUAACAUUGCAGUUCUGCUGUUGCUCAGAUGAAUCUGCUACUUCACAUGCUUAGAAGAAUUGGCUAGAAGCCUGAAGAGAAGUGUCUCUGGGGAUUAGCUUGUUUUCCAGGGAUAAGCCCUUCUCUACCCUUUGUGUUUCUGAAGGUGUUCCAGGAGGACCCCUUAGGAACCCCUUGGAAAAGAGGCAUGGUAACUAACUGUGAGAGGAGUUGAGCUGAGCCUCUGCCUCUUUGCUUCUGCUAAAAGGCUCCAACGAAGAAAAGCAGGACCUUGGGGAUGUCCGGAGGCCAAGUCAGGCCCCAGACCUCAGUCCCCAUUUGUUGUAUGAUCCAUGCACCUGUGUAAACGCACAGGGAAGAGGAUGAACACCCUAACAGCUUGUUGGACAUGGGCAGCUUGCCAAAGCCUUCAUCUGGUGUAUGAUGAUACGAAAGCUGCAGUGUAACUCAGUAGACUUGGACAUGAUUUCACUAUAGCGUUUGCUAGACAGCACAUUAAGGAACUGUUUGUUUUUUUUUUAGAAGGAAAGAAAGAACGCAGAGAAACCAGAACAUUGCUAGCAAAGGGGUAUAGCCAUAUCUGUAAUUACCAAGGCUGUUCAUUAACAGCAAUUAGAUGUGUUUUCUUCAAUACCUGUAUUAAAUUGCAUCUCAAAUGGCGUGUAGUAAUUUUUGUGGAUGGUUUUUGUAUUACAGGUAUGAGGUGCUGCUUGUAGGUUUCAUGAAGUAUCUUUCCUUAUAGAAUGCCAAAUAAAAGUAUUUUCUCUUAUAACUGAAGAGCUGUU